rnacentral:rRNA from 6 species
AGAGUUUGAUCCUGGCUCAGGACGAACGCUGGCGGCGUGCCUAAUACAUGCAAGUCGAACGAACUCUGGUAUUGAUUGGUGCUUGCAUCAUGAUUUACAUUUGAGUGAGUGGCGAACUGGUGAGUAACACGUGGGAAACCUGCCCAGAAGCGGGGGAUAACACCUGGAAACAGAUGCUAAUACCGCAUAACAACUUGGACCGCAUGGUCCGAGUUUGAAAGAUGGCUUCGGCUAUCACUUUUGGAUGGUCCCGCGGCGUAUUAGCUAGAUGGUGGGGUAACGGCUCACCAUGGCAAUGAUACGUAGCCGACCUGAGAGGGUAAUCGGCCACAUUGGGACUGAGACACGGCCCAAACUCCUACGGGAGGCAGCAGUAGGGAAUCUUCCACAAUGGACGAAAGUCUGAUGGAGCAACGCCGCGUGAGUGAAGAAGGGUUUCGGCUCGUAAAACUCUGUUGUUAAAGAAGAACAUAUCUGAGAGUAACUGUUCAGGUAUUGACGGUAUUUAACCAGAAAGCCACGGCUAACUACGUGCCAGCAGCCGCGGUAAUACGUAGGUGGCAAGCGUUGUCCGGAUUUAUUGGGCGUAAAGCGAGCGCAGGCGGUUUUUUAAGUCUGAUGUGAAAGCCUUCGGCUCAACCGAAGAAGUGCAUCGGAAACUGGGAAACUUGAGUGCAGAAGAGGACAGUGGAACUCCAUGUGUAGCGGUGAAAUGCGUAGAUAUAUGGAAGAACACCAGUGGCGAAGGCGGCUGUCUGGUCUGUAACUGACGCUGAGGCUCGAAAGUAUGGGUAGCAAACAGGAUUAGAUACCCUGGUAGUCCAUACCGUAAACGAUGAAUGCUAAGUGUUGGAGGGUUUCCGCCCUUCAGUGCUGCAGCUAACGCAUUAAGCAUUCCGCCUGGGGAGUACGGCCGCAAGGCUGAAACUCAAAGGAAUUGACGGGGGCCCGCACAAGCGGUGGAGCAUGUGGUUUAAUUCGAAGCUACGCGAAGAACCUUACCAGGUCUUGACAUACUAUGCAAAUCUAAGAGAUUAGACGUUCCCUUCGGGGACAUGGAUACAGGUGGUGCAUGGUUGUCGUCAGCUCGUGUCGUGAGAUGUUGGGUUAAGUCCCGCAACGAGCGCAACCCUUAUUAUCAGUUGCCAGCAUUAAGUUGGGCACUCUGGUGAGACUGCCGGUGACAAACCGGAGGAAGGUGGGGAUGACGUCAAAUCAUCAUGCCCCUUAUGACCUGGGCUACACACGUGCUACAAUGGAUGGUACAACGAGUUGCGAACUCGCGAGAGUAAGCUAAUCUCUUAAAGCCAUUCUCAGUUCGGAUUGUAGGCUGCAACUCGCCUACAUGAAGUCGGAAUCGCUAGUAAUCGCGGAUCAGCAUGCCGCGGUGAAUACGUUCCCGGGCCUUGUACACACCGCCCGUCACACCAUGAGAGUUUGUAACACCCAAAGUCGGUGGGGUAACCUUUUAGGAACCAGCCGCCUAAGGUGGGACAGAUGAUUAGGGUGAAGUCGUAACAAGGUAGCCGUAGGAGAACCUGCGGCUG